CCUACGGGAGGCUGCAGUGAGGAAUAUUGGUCAAUGGACGAGAGUCUGAACCAGCCAAGUAGCGUGAAGGAUGACUGCCCUAUGGGUUGUAAACUUCUUUUAUAUGGGAAUAAAACGUUCCACGUGUGGGAUUUUGUAUGUACCAUAUGAAUAAGGAUCGGCUAAAUCCGUGCCAGCAGCCGCGGUAAUACGGAGGAUCCGAGCGUUAUCCGGAUUUAUUGGGUUUAAAGGGAGCGUAGGUGGAUUGGUAAGUCAGUUGUGAAAGUUUGCGGCUCAACCGUAAAAUUGCAGUUGAAACUGGCAGUCUUGAGUACAGUAGAGGUGGGCGGAAUUCGUGGUGUAGCGGUGAAAUGCUUAGAUAUCACGAAGAACUCCGAUUGCGAAGGCAGUUCACUGGACUGCAACUGACACUGAGGCUCGAAAGUGUGGGUAUCAAACAGGAUUAGAUACCCCAGUAGUC
rnacentral:rRNA from 1 species